rnacentral:rRNA from 1 species
AGCGAACGCUGGCGGCAUGCCUAACACAUGCAAGUCGAACGAGACCUUCGGGUCUAGUGGCGCACGGGUGCGUAACGCGUGGGAACCUGCCCUUAGGUUCGGAAUAACUCCCCGAAAGGGGUGCUAAUACCGGAUAAUGUCUUCGGACCAAAGAUUUAUCGCCUUUGGAUGGGCCCGCGUUGGAUUAGCUAGUUGGUAGGGUAAAAGCCUACCAAGGCGACGAUCCAUAGCUGGUCUGAGAGGAUGAUCAGCCACACUGGGACUGAGACACGGCCCAGACUCAUACGGGAGGCAGCAGUGGGGAAUAUUGGACAAUGGGAGAAAGCCUGAUCCAGCAAUGCCGCGUGAGUGAUGAAGGCCUUAGGGUUGUAAAGCUCUUUUACCCGGGAUGAUAAUGACAGUACCGGGAGAAUAAGCGCCGGCUAACUCCGUG